rnacentral:rRNA from 1 species
GAUGAACGAUGGCGGCGUGCCUAAUACAUGCAAGUCGAGCGAACGGACGAGAAGCUUGCUUUUCUGAUGUUAGCGGGGGACGGGUGAGUAACACGUGGAUAACCUACCUAUAAGGCUGGGAUAACUUCGGGAAACCGGAGCUAAUACCGGAUAAUAUUUUGAACCGCAUGGUUCAAAAGUGAAAGACGGUCUUGCUGUCACUUAUAGAUGGAUCCGCGCUGCAUUAGCUAGUUGGUAAGGUAACGGCUUACCAAGGCAACGAUGCAUAGCCGACCUGAGAGGGUGAUCGGCCACACUGGAACUGAGACACGGUCCAGACUCCUACGGGAGGCAGCAGUAGGGAAUCUUCCGCAAUGGGCGAAAGCCUGACGGAGCAACGCCGCGUGAGUGAUGAAGGUCUUCGGAUCGUAAAACUCUGUUAUUAGGGAAGAACAUAUGUGUAAGUAACUGUGCACAUCUUGACGGUACCUAAUCAGAAAGCCACGGCUAACUACGUG